GCAGUGUUCCCAUAAUGGUAUUGGAGCCGGUUGCUAUCCGGUCGGGCGGAAUAUCCGCUUUGCAGGUUCAAGUCCUGCACACUGCG
rnacentral:tRNA from 1 species